CCACCAGACUCCUACGGGAGGCAGCAGUGGGGGAUAUUGCACAAUGGGGGGAACCCUGAUGCAGCGACGCCGCGUGGGUGAAGGAGCGUUUCGGCGCGUAAAGCCCUAUCGGCAGGGAAGAAGGAGGACGGUACCUGACUAAGAGGCCCCCGCUAACUACGUGCCAGCAGCCGCGGUAAUACGUCGGGGGCAAGCGUUAUCCGGAUUUACUGGGUGUAAAGGGAGCGUAGACGGCAAGGCAAGUCUGGAGUGAAAGCCCGUGGCCCAACCACGGGACUGCUUUGGAAACUGUGUUGCUGGAGUGCAGGAGGGGUAAGCGGAAUUCCUAGUGUAGCGGUGAAAUGCGUAGAUAUUAGGAGGAACACCGGUGGCGAAGGCGGCUUACUGGACUGUAACUGACGUUGAGGCUCGAAGGCGUGGGGAGCAAACAGGAUUAGAUACCCUCGUAA
rnacentral:rRNA from 1 species